GGAAGGAUACUGCAAAAUCCCCAUUCCGUCCCCACUCCUGGGGAAAGGAUAUUGCAAAAUCUCCAUUCCCACCCCACUCUGGGGACAGCCAGAGGUGGUAUUUGCCAGUUCUCUGAACUACUCAAAAUUUGGAGAUUUUGCAGUAUCCUUCCCCUGGAGUGGGGUGGGAAUGGAGAUUUUGCAGUAUCCUUUCCCUGCCAUGCCCACCAAGCCACGCUCACAGAAUUGAUAGUAAAAAAAAAAUGAAUUUCACCACUGCCAACACCCAAUGCAGCUCACACAACAGAGGUGUUGUAUGUGCCAUCUUUAGGGUACCCAAACUUUUAUGAAAUGUAUUUGAUGCCCAUCUCGUAUCCAACAACUCUGGGUGGCAAAUUGUUCUCAUAGUUGCAUUUUGUCCCAGCAGAACCUUCCUGAUUCUAGUGGCACAGUAGUUAGAAUGCAGUAUUGCAGCCUAAUUCUGCCAAUUGCCAGCAGUUUGAUCCUGAUCGGCUGAACAUUGACUCAGUCUUCCCUCCUUCCGAGGUUGGUAAAAUGAAGAGCCAGAUUGUUGGGGGCAAUAUGCUGACCCUAUAAACCACUCAGACAAUGCUGUAAAGCACUUGGAGCAGUAUAUAAAUCUAAGUGCUAUUGCUAUUCAAGGGUAGUCCCAUGUAGAACAUUUCCAAGCUGGAAAUGACCAGGAUCUGCGUUACUGAAAGAAGGGCUCCCAAACCAGGAAUGACAUAACUGACUCCUCAAGCAGGAGCCAUGAAGCCAGGAGGACCCGCAGAUUACACACCAGGAUCUGUCUGGGUUAGUGCAACCCCAGCAAAGACCAGAGAUGAUGAACUCUUAGAUACAAAGAAGCCCCCCACACACACACACUCACAGCCACUCCAUUUUACCACAGUUCAGGGUGAAGCCUGUUGUUCCCCAUCCAGAUCCUAAAACCUCAAGGUAUGGCAAAAGAACGUCCAGAGCAGCUUUUUCCCUAAAACUGGAAAACAAAAACCUUCAUCUUCAAGUUAGCCAAGUAAAAACUUGUGCAAGAAAAUGGAGAGUGCUGGGUUUGUGCAAGCUUUUGCUGUCCUUCCUGUAGCCCAGCUAGGACUUAAAGGCUAGCCCAAUGUUUCUCAACCUUGGCCAUUUGCAAAUAGGUGGACUUCAACUCCCAGAAUUCACUUGUGGUCAUAAAUCCAGGACUACCUGUACAAUGGGUUACCAUUGUGAAAUAUUAAUUAGGUUAAUUGAAUCCGGUGCAAAUGAGUUUUAAACUAACAGGUUGGAAAUAAUAGCUGUGGAGUACUAUUGAACUACUUCUGAACCAGAAAAUUCUUCCACGUGGAACUUUUUGUAUCACUGAUUAGCUACUUUUUGUGAACCAACAUUAAAUACUCCUUUUAUAAUCUAUUCAAGGUAGCUAAAUAAUUUGGUGUCUGAUAUUUUCAUUUUUUAAAAUGCCCUCUUUAAUUCAGCUUUUAAAAGAAAAUUUGGAAAACAACUAUCUAUAUCUACCUUGUUCUAUAUUAUAUUGAAAUGAGUUGGCAAUCUUGACCUUAGUGAAGUAGAUUAAAUAGCAGAUUAAUAAAUUGUAUUAAUUUAAAAGUUGAGAAGUAAGUGGAGAACAGAAAGUGAAAAGACUAAAAAGAGAAGGAAUGUGAUUGUGGAAAGGUUAUUUUACUUUGUAUCUGAAAAGCUCAGUUUUUAACUUCAGCAGUAUUUGUUUUUCAUGGAAGAGAAUUGCCAUUGCAUAUACCAAGGAUGUAUUAUGUUUGUAAAUAUUUGUGUUCUGGGUUUGCAGUUGAUUGGAUUAUAACAGAUAUUUGACCAUCAGGCAAAAUGCUUUUGGACAUACUCGAUGUGUUUUGAAAGAUAGAUUAAAAUGACUUCUUUUGUACAGGUGGUAUUUUUCUCAGGUAAUGCUCUUUCUGCAAAUUUAUUUGUUUAUUUGUUUGUUUAUAUAGCUGCCCAUCUCACAGAAAACUUUGUAGUAAUGUAAAGUAGCUAAGAAUUACUGCUUAUUUUUGAUACAAUUGAUUCUGCAAAUAUUUGGAAGUAAAUCCAUUAGUUUCAGUAAAAUACCAUCUCCAGUAAAGGACAUGGGAUCUUAUCUUGCUGAGGCAUAGGGCAUAAACACUAUAAAUAAAUAUAUCUUAGUAAUAAAUUACCAUUGCAUAUUUUGAAAGAAAAUAAAUAGAAUAUCAUUUUACUUUUCAAAUUAAUUGAUUUUGUUUUUAUGUUCCAAAAGAACUGUAUGCUUGGUUUUCAAUCUGAUUUAGUUCUCCUCCCAAUCAUAAACAUAGUUUACCCCAUCUUCUACUCCACCCUCCCCUUGUUAACUGAAGCUUACCUUAAUGUGAAUGUUUUUGCCAUAAUAAAUGGCUAAAAUUGCUACAGUACUUUCAUUGUGCUGCAAGAUUAUCUUCGUUAAUGCCCAGAAAAAUGCUAAAUAUUUCAAUCCUAAUUAGAUUUACUUUGAUUUAGAAAGUAAAUUACAUAGUACUCAUUAUAGCCAAGCAAAUUGGCAUCAUCAAUUUAUGUAGCCAUUGAACCAAACACAUUUUAGGAUUCCCAUGUAAGAUAUCUAUUUUAAUGUUAACAUCUAUUUCAUUAAUGUCAAUACAGCAAAAUAGAGUUCUCUUACAGAAGAAUGAAGCAAAACAGUUGAACACAUGCUGGAUAUGUUAAAUGUGGCAAUAUACCAUAAUUGAUAAUAGAUUUAAAGAAGUUGAAUCUAUAACACAACCUUGCUUGACACUUCAGAAAACUUCAAUUGGUGAUGUGCAAGGGAACAUCUCAUUUGCAUACUGAAAUUCUUGUAAACAUUUUGACAAGAAUUAAAGGGUAUAUUCUACAUUUGUGCCUCCUAAUUUUAUCCAUAGCUUGCUUCCAUCGUUAAACUAAGAUAUAUGCUAAAAUAGCAGUGCCAAUAUAGAUUUUACUUUUGCUAUAACGUACUUGUUAAUCCCAAAUAUUAACAAUGGUCAAAUGUUGAAAAAUAGUUGUAAACCCAGCUUUGUUUUUCAGUAGAAUAUGCUCCCAGUUUAUGUAAUGGUAUAUAAUUUAGUAGCAAUAUUAAUAAGGAUAAAUAAUCUGUAAUUUUAGGGGUUUCUGAUCCCUUUUUUGUGAAGAAUCAAAUGAUUAUUCCCAUAUUAGAUCUCUAUCACUAUAAACAACCAUUUUUCAUCCUGCAUGAACUAUUUACUUACAUAAAUUCUUACAUAUUUUUUUGUUUUCAACUUAAACUUGAUGGCAGAUUUUGUUCCAGUAAACUCUCAAGGUUCCAUUAGAUGGAGUGAUUGAAAUUUAUAAACAUACACUUAGCAGACUACAAUUGCAGUGGUUAAAUUAGUGAAACCUCUUUUAUGUGGAGAUAAUCUGGCAAUGUUCUUCUAUUAUUUUUAUGCAGUUUCCCUAUUGUAAUUCUGAUAAUUACAUAGUGGCUAUUUAUUUAUUGUGUGUGCAUACAAUUUUGAGCUAUUGAUAGUCAUUAUAAAUAGUCCUUCCCUUGUCCUAAAGAGUAGGACUCCCAUUUUAAAAUUCAUCCUAGGUCUAUUACUAUAGCCUGCCUGCCUUCCUCCCUCCCUCCCUCCCUUUUCCCAACAACUCUAGGAAUAGAAUAAAAAAUAAACAAAGAUUUUUUAAAAAUUAAUAACCAUUUCUAUCCUAUAACACUCUGGCAUUCAUUUUCAAAAUACUGUCAUUUUUAACUCUGCAUCCAUUUGGCUAAUAAGUGAAGUCACAGUGUCUUUCUCAUUGCCUGUGCAGCUUCAAUAGAAUUAGCUGCUGCAUGGAAGAUUUUUUGUCUUUUUCCCAGAAGGGGAAACUGGUAGAGAACAUCACACGUUGCUGUUUGAUCACAUCAAAAACUCUAUAUAAUCCAACAUCCUCUUUCCUACAUUGACUGGCAGGUGAUAGUCCUGUUGCUGCUGAUUGUCACCAGCCUUAUAUCCUACAUGCCUCAAAAUGGUAGAAGUCAUGUAUACUAUAAAAUACAUGGAAGUGUUGAUUUCAUGCAUGAUUUUAUCUGCAUUAUUCUUUUUCUUCUUUUCUCUUAUAUCUGUAGCUACAAAGGAAUUUGAUGGUACAGUAUUUUUUCCUUAUCUAUUUAAUUUAAUUUUUCUGAAUAUUAAUUCAGAACAAUCCUAAACAUACAGUACAUGAUGACACAAAACAUUUUUUUUCUUUAAAGGCACGUGGUGCAAAUUUGAAAAUAAUAUAUUUUUAUGCUGUUUGGAGAACCACAAGUGAAAUAACUCAGUGGCUGAAUUAAUAACUCAAUGCUGGAAAUAGUGCUUGCUGGUAUUUAAGAAAUAAUACUGUACUGGCUUAUGAGAAAUAUGCAGUGCCAAGUGAUAUGUAUAUUUUACUCUCAUUUUUAUGCCCGAACCCUGUGCCAGAUCUGCAUAAACACGAAAACACUUCCUCUUCUUCCUGUUGAUGCUGUGGUAGUGAUGUCACUCGCACUCAAGUAAAAUUUCCCUGUGACAGUUGAUUACAGAAUUGUGAUGGAAUGUAUAUUUCCUACCUCUAAUAAACAUCCUGUUGUGGAAUGUGUGUAUGUUCUCAAUAUGCAAAAACAGAACGUUAGUUCAAGGAAAGCACACUAGUAAACACAUCUGAAGCUUUGGUUUUGAUCCACAAAACAGGUCCUUAUUGGUGGCGUAAUAAGUAAUGUUUAAAAAUUAGUAACAGAUCUUUAAAAAAGAUUCUUUGACACAUAUUGCUUCAAAAAAAUACGUGGAUGAAGUGAUGGUAUAUCUGUAUCAAAUAUAGGGUUUUGUUUUGUUUUGUUUAAAAAAUACAUUCUCUGAAGAAAAAACAGAGCAUAAGGGAAACAAUACACUUGAUAAGAAAAUUGCUGUUCCAGACAAAAAAAAUGCAAUCACAUGACCACAAAAUGCUGCAGCCAGUCAUAAGUGUUAGCAGGUGCCAAGCCCUCAAUUGCAACCACGUGAUAUGAGGUGGCAGUGUGACGGUUAUAAGUCACUUUUUCAGAGGCCACUGUUACUUUGAAUCAUUACACAUCAUAAAUUGAGGACUGCCUGUACUCCCUUUAAAAGAAAUGUAUUCCUUUCUGAUACCUCUUUUUCUUUUAAAAGAGUUAUGCAGUGUUUCAGAUUACCAGUUCCAGGCACAAAAAUAAGAUUGAAUAACCUGGCAACAGUUUGAGUCAUUUCAUUUUUUUAUUAUUAUAUUUAUGCUUUCGUGGUUGAAAAAAAUUGAGGGUCGAAUGGAUAGGAAUUCUCUGAGUUGAAGACUAUAUAACUGUGAAAUUUCCCUGUUUUACUGAUAGCUGGAAGGAGACAAGUUUACAGGAUUCAACAAAAAUAAUAAUUGACAGCCUUGUUUGUUUUUUGCAAGAGAGGUGGGAAAACGGCAUGAUGACAUUCACAUUUUCCAUUUGUUUUAGAAUUUUAUUAUGACCAGCAGAUACAGCUUUGCUUAUUCUUGCUAUUUGAUGUAUAUAAGUGUGCACCUGUAUGGAGCAGCUAAUCUCUUCCAAAAUGAGGUGCUUUCCACAAUGAAGGCAAUUUAGUCCAACUGCCAUUCAAAAAGGCUUGGCUGACACAAAAUAAUGUUCCAGUUUUGCUUUGUUUUUUGGAAGCCAGAAUGAACAGAGAAGAUUGUGGAGACAUUGCUUCAGAAAGCUGCUUCUGUUAAAAGUUGGUUGAAGCUUCGCCCUAAAAGCUUUCUAUAACGCUAAUAAAGCUGGUGUGAGAUGUUUGGCUCCUUAGCAACAUAAUGAUAGAAUGAGACUGGACAAAACAUCUGAGGGACUUUCAUAAAAAACAAAACAAUCCAAAAUAAGAAAUAAAGUCUUUUUGACCCCAGCUACUCCUGGUGAUAAAAAUAUUUUUGUUAACUCUUGGUAUCAUAAUAUAUCAAUCUCUGCAUUAGCUCUUAUGCAAAGCAGCAUUCAUGAAAUCCGUAUUGUAUACAAUAUUUUAAAUGAAAACAGUGUUCCUAAAACUCAACAGCUUCUCUCUUUAUUCUUCUUGGAGAAACCAUUCCAAAUUAUUUCUUUAUAAGAGCAUUAAAAAUGUUCUAGUGUAUUUAAUCAAUACUUUUUAUUUACUUGGACUGCAGACAAAUGGACUUAUACAACAGGACUUUUAACUCUCUCGAUCUCAUCCUCAUAAAUUUUGCCAUGAGACAACAUAGAGCAUGAUUUGAAAUAUGGUGGCCUGCAGGAAUAAGGUGUACAUUCAUUGUCAUUUCCAUUGUUAGUGAGAGAACAUUGUUAAAAGACUUGUAUGUAGCUAAAUAUGGUACACUCAGUAAGAAUUCAAUUUUAAUAAUUUGCUGAAACAUACAUAAGUGAUCUAAUAGGUGCAGGUACUCCUCGACUUACAAUAGUUUAGUGACCGUUCAAAGUUACAACAGCAUUGAAAAACGUAACUUAUGACCAUUUUACACAAGACCAUUGCAGCAUCUCAUGGUCAGGUGAUUUACAUUCAGAUGCUUGAAAAAUUGACUCAAAUUUAUGAUGGUUGCUGUGUCCUAGGGUCGUGUGCUUUCCUUUUGCGACCUUCGGACAAGCAAAUCAAUAGAGAAGCCAGAUUCAGUUAACAGCUGUGUUAUUAAUUCAAUAACUGCACUGAUUCACUUAACAAAUGUGGCAAGAAAAGUAAUAAAAUGGGACAAAAUUCACUUAACAAAUUUCUCACUUAGCAACAUAAAUUUUGGGCUCACUUGUGGUUUUCCAUUGAGGACUACCUGUACUUUGUAUUCCAAAGCAAAACUCUAGACUUAGAUAAAUUUUUCUUGAUGUAUCCAUAUGGAGUCAACUGUCUUUGGGUUAAAAACUACAUUUUUUUCUGUUUUCUUUUUUUAAUAGAAAAAUAUUGUAAAAUAAAAACAAAAAAAAAAAUCUUCAUGCUCCUAUUGUUGCAAAACCAAAUUUAAGAGCAUAGAAAGCUGCUUACCCUACAGCAGUUAAAAUGCUGCUACAUUAUUUUUUAUUGUUUUACUAAUCAUUAAAGGGUUAUAAAUAUAAUCAAUUUCCUUAUAUAGUAGCACAAGUGGAGUGUACAUGAAAUUAAGUGCUAGAUUUAAUGAAAGGAAAAUGAGGAACACGAUGAAAAUCCAGAUGAAAGCAAAAAAAUUGUAACCUUCCUUAUUUCCUCUUUAUACAAUAUAUAUGUUUCCCCCCCCUCUUCCCCUCCUCCCAUGUGUGUGUGUGUGCAUGUGCGCGCACGCUUAUAUUUGUGGUAUCAGCUUCCACAAAUGCAAACUUCAGGAGUCAAUUCCCUUUUCAGAAUCAAAAUGCUGCUUUCUACUUUUCUUCCAUGAAGUCAAGCAGGUAUUCUAAGCAGUUCUUUUGAUUUGGUUGCUGGAAAGAUAAACAUUCGUACUUUUCCAGGAAAAGUCCUGAUAUUCAGAUGCACACCUGUGUUUAUAUAGAAAAUUUAGACUAAUACCUCUUAACCUAAAUUAAGCAAAAUUUAUUUAGGGACAAAGUCUAAAUUUAAUUUAAACUAGAGUAUACAACUAGUUUUGCAAAUGUUAUAGGAGAUGGACAAUUGGCCCGAUAUAAUAAACUGAGUUUUGCUUUUAGUACAGCAAUUCUGGCUGAGCUCCAUAUUUCACAAAUUACAUUUGUGAGAACUGAUGGAAGCACAAAGUAAUUGUGUUAUGAAGGGCUGGAAGAAAAAUGAGACGUUUUUGACUGGAGCAACCUCAUUGAGGCUCAGUCUUAAGACUGAACUGUUUAACUUAAUGAAACUGUACUAUAUAUGUUUAAUUCCACAGAUAUAUUUUGCGAUUUAACCAGAAGGAAAAUUUUACAAUCCAGAACUGCCCAAAGUAAUUGCCUAUAGCCAGUCAUAUGAAAGGUAAUGAAAACUACCAAGAGCUGACAAGCUCAGUGUCUUUAACCAUUGAGCCAUCAUGCCUCAUCUAAUUCAGUUUAAUGAAGGUCAAAGAGAUAACAGCCAAAGCAUGCAAACCAAAAUAGUCUCUGGCAGACACAUGCCUGAACAGUUUACUCUUAUUGGGAGUGCAUAGAAUAGCCCAAAAUCAGUCCAAGAUUCCAAGAGCCAGUUCAGAAGAGCACAGGCAUAAUUCAUAUGAAUUGUCAUACAAGAGCCAGAGAUUAAAUAGUUGUUUCCAGUAAAGGGCUAUAACUCAAGGCUGGCUCUUUAAUCAGGCUGCAGCCAACUGUUGCUAAUCAAGUCAUUUACUCACUUGUUUGACAAGAUGCUUCACAGAACGUCUUUGCUGUUCUCUCUCUACACACCAGGCUGUUCCAGCUGUGCAGGAGGUGCCUGCUUUUGAUUGGCCUCUUGUGAUUCAUGUGGUUUACAAAAACAGUUUCAAAUCAGUCUAAAAAAUCCAGACUUAAAACUUGGAUCAGUUUUUAAAGAUUGUAAAAUAAGUUUGCCUCUACUUUUACAAAUAACUGAAAUUAAUCAUGUUAUAACUAAAGAAUUUGUGGUGUUCUUCUGGAUUUUAGACUUUCUUUGUAAGGAGCGCUCAAGAAUUCAUAUCCAUAUUGAACAAAUUGAGCUAAAAGACAUUUCAGAAGAACAAAUGUUUAUGAGAAGGUGGCUUCACAAAUGUUUUGAAGUCAAGGACAAGGCAGGGGUGUCAACUGGCGGCUGGCAGGCGCCUGAUGCGUCACAUGCAGGCCACAUCCACCCCAGAUCCGCAAAGGGGAAAACCAUUGCAAAACAUCAUGUGACAGCAACGUGACGCCGCAAGUUUGACACCCAUGGUUUAGGGUUUGCCUUAUAUUUUCUUUGCUGUUGCAAGCCACCUUGUUUGUCAAGGGGAUAGAAAGAUGAAGGUACAAAUGAAAUAAUUAAUAAUCAAAUAAAAAUAAGAGGGAUUCAACUCUUGGGCUAAAAUACAAUUUUACUAAUGAGCCAGUGUUAUAAUGCUGGAUUUAUGGAACCAUUUGCUAUUUUCUGAAUGUUAUAGUAAGUGCCAUGAUUACUAGUAACAUACUGCACGUAUUUCCAAUAAUAUUAAUUUUCCAUAUAUAAUAGUAACUCAAACACUGUUGUCAAAUAUGAGAAUUAUUAUGGUCAUGGAUAUCUAAGGGCAUUUUUUUAAAAAAACACAAGAAGAGAAACUACUAUAGCAUAUAUUAGGUGUUCUCUACACAAAAGGCAAAUGAAAUAUAUGCACAAAUACAUCUCAUAAAUUUACUUUUAUGAUUUGUAUCGAUGAAGCUUAACUAAGGCUAUAUGUUACACGCUCAAAAUUACAGAAAUAGUUGGACGGCAUUAAAAAGUUACAUUUUUACCCACCAAUUCAAAUACUAGAGCAAGUUUUUCAAGUUCUGAAUGCAAAUUGAGUCUGGUACUGUAAAAGUGCUGAAAAAGAAGUCGAUGAUGAUGAUGAUUAAAAUUUAUUUGCCUAUCACACUGUGGGGAUAGGCAAGAGAACAGCAAGUUCAUUUCCAAACUGUACACCUAGUGCUUUAAGGGGAAGUGCCAACUAACUCUCCUUAUCCAACUCCACUCUUCUAGUACAGGUAGACCUCGACUUACGACCACAAUUCAGCCCAAAAUCUCUGUUGCUAAGUGAGACAUUUGUUAAAUGAAUUUUGCCCCAUUUUACAACCUUUUUUUGCCACCAUUGUUAAAUGAUUCACUGCAAUUGUUAAGUUAGUCACAUGGUUGUUAAGUGAGUCUGGCUUCCCCAAUGACUUUGCUUGUCAGAAGGUUGCAAAAAGUGAUUUCAUGACCCCAGGACACUGCAAUCGUCAUAAAUAUGAAUUGGUUGUCAAGCAUCUAAAUUUUGAUCACUUGACCAUGGGGACGCUGCAAUGGUCGUAAAUGUGAAAAAUGGUCAUAAGUCACUUUUUCAGUGCUGUUGUAACUUUGAACAAUCACUAAAUGAGCUGUUGUAAAUCGAUGACUACCUGUACUUCAAUCUUUCUUUUUUAGAUUAAGUUUCAGUUUGUUUGCUCUCAUCCAUAGUUUAUUUAGACCUUCUUCAAAUUCCUGAGGAUUUCCCUAUUUUUCCAGUACUUUUUAUGUACUGGAUUUCCCUUUGUAUUUUAUGUUUUGAUACACUAAUAAAAAAAAUUGUAAAGGUAUUUUUUUCCCCUCAUCCAUUCCUAAUCCUAAACUGGUUUGAUAACAAGAACAUGCAAGUUGCAGAAAAAUAUGGCCAUAUAGACCCAGAAGGCAUAGUAGAUAUCUCUGGUAUAUAAAUGACAUGAUUUGUAUCAGCAAGCCAUCAGCAGAAGCUAAGUUAUCUAUUUUAAAAUGUGUUUUGUAGAUAUCCUGUCUCACUGAGAUACAGAUUAUGUUUUAUGACAGUCUCCAGGGACAGACGUGCAAAUGGAAAUCUUGAAUUAUCAUCUCAUCUCAUACAGGACUGUCUGUAUUAAGAAAAUUUCUGGGCAAAAUCACCCUGUAAAAUCAUCAUAACCCUGAGUAAUUUUCCUGGCAAGACUUCUCUCAAAAAAAAUAAAACUAGAUAACACAGAGUUAUUUUUUUUUCUUUUUGCCCUGCUCAUAAAUUCAAUUGGUUAUGAAUUCCAGUUCCGCGACGUAUUUCACUUCUAAAAACUUGUCUCUGAAAGUAUGCUGGAUAGUGUUGUGAACUUGCCACAUUACCAAAGGUUUUCAAGUUGUGUUCUGCAGAAUCCUGUGGUUCUCAAGUGACUAUGGGUAAAAAAAAGUUCAUUCAGACUCAGCCAAGAACCUCCCUAGCCAUUUUUAUAAGAGCAAGGCCAGUGGACAUUCAGGAGCCCCAUCUCUCCCGAGGGACUUUCUUCUCGUCAUGACUAAUCACUCUGUGGGUGUCUGCAUGGCAGGCAGUGGGGAUUCCAGGAAAAGUUCUUGUUGACUAAUAGGAUCUAUGGCCUGGAAAAUCUGGAAAACCCCUCUAGAUCUCAUACCCAAGAAUAUAUGAAGUGCCUCCACAGAUCCAGUGAAAACUCUCCUUGGUAGUUGAUGUAGCGUAUGAAGCAAUGGAUGGAAACUAAUCAAGGAGAGAACCAACCUAGAACUAAGGAGAAAUGUCCUGACAGUUAGAAUAAUCAAUCAGUGGGACAAUCUGCCUCCAGAAGUUGUGGGUGCUCCAACACUGGAGGUUUUUAAGAAGAGACUAGACAGCCAUUUGUCUAAAAUGGCCUCCUGCUUGAGUAGGGGGUUGGAUUAGAAGACCUCCAAGGUUCCUUUCAACUUUGUUAAUGAUCAUUUUAGUGGUUGCCCCUGGAUGGAGAAAGCCCAGCUUCAAAUCUCUAAAUAGUUUGUGAUAAUAAUGGAAGGAUCUCUAAGCCAGUCAACCAGUCAGUUUAUCACAGUUUUAGACCAGUACAAGGCUCUCCAAGCUAACUGACACAGGAUAACCUUCAAAGGACAAUAAGGUUUAACUGCUUCCACCAAUUCUGUUUGAACAUUAAUUCAUAUUUAAAAAUCCAUUGUCUCCCCAUUUCUUCAAUGCACUAAAGAUGGCCACAGAUCAGUCGCUGGAAGAAUGUAUGUAUCAGUGUUGGAGAAAGGGGAAAAUGUUGCAAUAGAAUCCUUCUGAGGGCAGAAAGGUCCCUUGCUUUAUGCUUAAAAUCCAAGGAUCAGUUUCUUCUGGCAUGGUCCAAGCAAAUAAAAGUGAAGAUUGGUGCUUGGUUGCUAGGCCGUCUCUGUUCUGUAGAAGUUGACAAAGUUAGCAGCCAGCAAAUAUAUGCUUCUUUUGUUAUUAUUAAAAGACUAACACUUGGAUCUCGGGAUCAACUUACUUGAGGUUCAUGGAAGAAAAGUUUCCCAUCUCCUCCCACAAGCACCUUUGAUCUUUAGAAAUUGUCUCCAGCGAGGCAGACAGGAGGGGCUUUCCUAUGAGCCCAACUCAACCGCCUAUUCCUGAAAGCUGUAAAAAUAGACCUGAAAAGGUUAUAGACACACAUCAGAUGAGUGGGUUCCUAUGGUAUGUUGAGCCACAGCAUGAUUUGCUUGGUUCUGGCUCUGUGCAUUGGGUGAUACUAGACAUCCCGGUUUUUAAAUCAUGACCCGUGGCUUAACACUUUCAAUGAGUCCAUGUAAGGGCUGCCCAUCCAUCGAAGCAUGGAUAAGGCAACAGUGGAUCAAAGCAAUAUUCGAAUGAAGUCAACGCUGGUGAAUUUAAGAGAUUGGAUGAGAGGAGAAUUGAAAUUGGGAUAGCUUUGAUUGAAAGAAGACAUCACCUUUUAGUUAAACCCAAGCCAAGUUUUGUUCCAUAUGUUACAUGGGACUUUUCAAGUUAAUAGACUGAGCUUACUGAAGGUGUACCUCCCUUAGGGAGGUACAGUCAGAGUCCAGGGGAAUUGUGAAGAACCUUUUACAUCGUUAGAAUAAAUCCAUCUUUCCUAAAAUUUCAGUGUGUUGUUUUUAUUGUUCAUUUGUCUUUAUUCUGGUGCUUAGAUUCUUAGGGAAGGUGUGCAUAUUAAGUAUACAUUAAAGGGAGGUAUAAUGGCAAAAGGUUUAGGAACUCCUGUUCUAGAACAUCACGGAUACAUUAAAUCAAUGCCUUCGUAGGCCAGGAUGGGAAAAUAUUGGGCACCAAAGGAUUAUAGGUAGUCCUCGACUUACAACCAUUCGUUUAAUGACCAUUCAAAGUCACAACACUGAAAAAAGUGACUUAUGACUAGUUUUCACACUUAUGUCCAUGGCAA